CCUCAUAGGGACUAAAUUCUCUAAAGGCAUCAGAUCCCACCUGAUCUUGGAAGCUCAGCAAGGUCAGUCCUGGUGAGUACUUGGGUAAAAGGCUGCCUAUGAAUACCAGGUGCUGUGGGCU
rnacentral:rRNA from 11 species